rnacentral:lncRNA from 1 species
UUCUACUCGUGGUGCUAUCUUGGCCUGCAAAGACAAGGUAGUCUGGUUCAGAGGACAGGAUGGGUCAAAGAUUUUCUUCUGAGGGGACACAGUAGGGAUGCCUAGAGGUUUGAUGUCAGCCUGUAAGGUUCGUAGGGUGCGUAGGAGGGGUUGUCAGAGGGUUCUAGCUCUUGUUUGAGAGUUCAGCAGUCAGGUCGGGGAACCAGCCUCAGUGCCAGUUGUUCAAGAGAGUUCUUAGAUGUCUUCCCAGGCGAGUUGUCAGGUUUACCAUCUGUCAGGGAGUUAGAGUUUGGUAUAGGAGUGGUGUCUGGACGCAGAACCAUUUCUACCCUUCCCUAUAGGAUGGCGCCUGCAUAGAGAGAGGUAGCAGUAGAGUAGAGGCGAGACUUGGUAGACAAGGGGUUUUGUCCGACCUAGUACCUCACUCUGGAUUGCUCCAGUAUGGUUG